rnacentral:rRNA from 1 species
UACCAGCACCCCGAGUGGUCGGGACGUUUUAUUGGGCCUAAAGCAUCCGUAGCCGGUUCUACAAGUCUUCCGUUAAAUCCAGCUGCUUAACAGGUGGGCUGCGGAAGAUACUAUAGAGCUAGGAGGCGGGAGAGGCAAGCGGUACUCGAUGGGUAGGGGUAAAAUCCGUUGAUCCAUUGAAGACCACCAGUGGCGAAGGCGGCUUGCCAGAACGCGCUCGACGGUGAGGGAUGAAAGCUGGGGGAGCAAACCGG